rnacentral:lncRNA from 1 species
UUACCUAGCCAACAUGGUGAAUUAUGUUUUGAUCAAAUCACUUAAUGAUUAGGAAUUGACCCAUGCUAACUAGAAAAUCAGUAUGACUGAUUUAGGUGCUCCUACUAUGACUUAUUUGUAGUCUUCAUGAUGACUUGGUGAAGUCAGCUAGAGGGUUUAUGUCUUGUUGGUUGGACUGACUUAUAUCUAGUCCUCUUUGAUCUGACUUGAUGAAGUUAGUGGGAGGAUUAUGAUUAGCUGGUUAGUAUCUUUUAUUCUUUUAAAAAUAUUUAAUCAAAUUUAAAUUAUUAGAUCCAUAAAAUAAAUUAAUUAUGGGGAUAAC